GAGGGUAUAGUUCAAGUGGUAGAGUGUGUGCUUAGCAUGCAUGAGGUCCUGGGUUUAAUUCCCAGUACCUCUA
rnacentral:tRNA from 1 species